rnacentral:rRNA from 1 species
UAAGGAAUAUUGGUCAAUGGGCGGAAGCCUGAACCAGCCAUGCCGCGUGCAGGAUGACUGCCCUAUGGGUUGUAAACUGCUUUUGUCCAGGAAUAAACCUAGAUACGUGUAUCUAGCUGAAUGUACUGGAAGAAUAAGGAUCGGCUAACUCCGUGCCAGCAGCCGCGGUAAUACGGAGGAUCCGAGCGUUAUCCGGAUUUAUUGGGUUUAAAGGGUGCGUAGGCGGCCUAUUAAGUCAGGGGUGAAAUACGGUGGCUCAACCAUCGCAGUGCCUUUGAUACUGAUGGGCUUGAAUCCAUUUGAAGUGGGCGGAAUAAGACAAGUAGCGGUGAAAUGCAUAGAUAUGUCUUAGAACUCCGAUUGCGAAGGCAGCUCACUAAGCUGGUAUUGACGCUGAUGCACGAAAGCGUGGGGAUCGAACAGGAUUAGAUACCCUGGUAGUCCACGCCCUAAACGAUGAUAACUCGAUGUUGGCGAUAGAUAGCCAGCGUCCAAGCGAAAGCGUUAAGUUAUCCACCUGGGGAGUACGCCCGCAAGGGUGAAACUCAAAUGAAUUGACGGGG